GUCCAGACUCCUACGGGAGGCAGCAGUGAGGCCUCUUGGUCAAUGGGCUUCCGCCUGACCCCGCCAAGUCGCGUGCGGGAAGACUGCCCUCUGGGUUGUACCCCUCUUUUGUCAGGGCGCCACGCCGGCUCCGUGUAGCCGGACUGCGAGUACCUGACGAAAAAGCAUCGGCUCACUCCGUGCCAGCAGCCGCGGUAAUACGGCGGAUGCGAGCGUUCUCCGGAUUUAUUGGGUUUAAAGGGUGCGUAGGCGGAAUGCCAAGUCAGCGGUAAAAGCGCGGGGCUCAACCUCGGUCCGCCGUUGAAACUGGCGUUCUUGAGUGGGCGAGAAGGAUGCGGAGUGCGUGGUGUAGCGGUGAAAUGCAGAGAGAUCACGCAGAACGCCGAUUGCGAAGGCAGCAUACCGGCGCCCAACUGACGCUGAAGCACGAAAGCGGGGGUAUCGAACAGGAUUAGAUACCCCAGUAUCG
rnacentral:rRNA from 1 species